ACAUACGGCCAUAGGCAGUAGAAUAUACCGCGUCCCGUUUGCUCCGCUGAAGUCAAGCUACUGACCGGCAGGCAGAUUAGUAGUUGGGUCGGUGACGACGACCAGCGAACACCGGCUGCUGUAUGUU
rnacentral:rRNA from 1 species